rnacentral:rRNA from 1 species
UACGUAGGGGGCGAGCGUUGUCCGGAAUUAUUGGGCGUGAAGCGCGCGCAGGCGGUCUUUUAAGUCUGAUGUGAAAUCUUGUGGCUUAACCACAAGCGGUCAUUGGAAACUGGGAGACUUGAGUACAGAAGAGGAGAGUGGAAUUCCACGUGUAGCGGUGAAAUGCGUAGAGAUGUGGAGGAACACCAGUGGCGAAGGCGACUCUCUGGUCUGUAACUGACGCUGAGGCUCGAAAGCGUGGGGAGCAAACAGG